GGGGGUCCUGUCCUUAGGUCGCUCAGGAUUUUGCAGUGAUACAGCCAGAGUGUUCUGAAAAGGUAUGCCUAAGUUGGCUGAGAAGAUCAUUCGUAUGGCCAGUAAGGAGAAGACUGGAGACCUUCCUUGCAAACAUCGAUUCACUCUCAGCAGGUAUUCACAUAGAGCUGGUGGCCCCUUUUGCCCUCAGAAUCCUGAUCCUGAGAUGCCUCCUGACGACCCAGUCCUCCCUCAAUGCGAGGAAGACAUCAUCGGGCUGGUUGUUUAGCUUCGGGAGGCUGAAGCUGUGCCUCGCGACGGGAACGGAGAUGGUGGAAGGGUGGAAGAUGGCAGACCUCCCUCUCCUCCACUCCAGCAGUGAAAUGAUGGCUGGUUUGUUUGAGGAGUCUGCCAAGGACAGCCUUUCAUCUUCUAACCUAGGGGAUCGUGAUGUGCCCUUCACUCCUGUCCUCGGCUCCUCUGGAAGGAGGCGCAGGGAGGACAGCGACGAGGAGGAGGAGCCUGCUGCCAAGGUGCCACAUUGGUCCGAUGACAGUGACUCGGAUUGAGGAUGAUAACCAGGUAGCAUCUUGCACUGGGACCAUCCAUCAUCUCCUUAUGUAAAUAGUUACAAACAUUUAUUUAUUUUUACUUCAAACUUAUUUAACUCUGUGGGGCAGCUUCUGUCUCUGGCUGGGCAAACAAAGCCCCAGACAGCCUCUGCGUCUGGCGGGGCUGUCAACCCCUCGUGUACAGGGCAGGAUAGGAUAACAACUUAAAUGUAUGGUGAGAGAGACAGGGAGGAAGAUGGCAAAAAGCUGCAAAGAACUAUAAAACAAAGCCACUUCCACUCUCACCACCAAGAAAGCUCCUCAAAGGAGCAUUUUAGACUUAAUGCAGCUUUAAAAAACACAAAAACACCAAACCUCUGACUCAACAGACGACAUCUUCUGGAGCUCUGUCUUCUUCACAAGGACAAAAAAAAGCUGCUGCUGUUCACCGUGUCCUGAGCCCCCCUGAGCGAGGAUGUAAACUGAAGCACAGAAAUAAACAUCAUGUCAGUUCAUUGAGCUGACUUUGUCACUCUGCUUUUAA